CCGAAGCGGAGUGAUCUACCCAUGGCCAGGUUGAAGCGCGUGUAAGAGCGCGUGSAGGACCGAACCCACUUCAGUUGAAAAUGGAGGGGAUGAGCUGUGGGUAGGGGGUGAAAGGCCAAUCAAACUCCGUGAUAGCUGGUUCUCCCCCGAAAUGCAUUUAGGUGCAGCGUCACGUGUUUCUUCCCGGAGGUAGAGCUACUGGAUGGACGAUGGGCCCUACAAGGUUACUGACUUCAGCCAAACUCCGAAUGCCGGGGAAGUGAGAGCGUGGCAGUGAGACUGUGGGGGGAUAAGCUUCAUAGUCGAGAGGGGAAACAGCCCCAGCCACCGGUUAAGGCCCCCUAGCGUGUGCUAAGUGGGAAAGGGAAUGUGGAGUUGCUGAGACACCAGGAGGUUGGCUUAGAAGCAGCCACCCUUGAAAGAGUGCGUAAUAGCUCACUGGUCAAGUGAUUCCGCGCCGACAAUGUAGCGGGGCUCAAGUACACC
rnacentral:rRNA from 1 species